CUUUUAACGUAGACAAAGGAGAGAAAAGAUAUUUUUAAUUUUAGAAGUAAAAUUGCUUUUAGUAAACCCUUAUCUUGUUUAUGAUACAGUAAUAUAUUACCAAAUAGUAAGUAUAAUUUUUAAAACAUUUCUUAAAGGCUAGGUUGUUGUCACCAUUAGAGUAACAAGCAGGUUAAUAAAAGGUCUCUCAGUGGUAGGUUUUUCCUAACCCAUUCGUAUAUACUUCUCAGGUUUCCCAUGUGACCAGUGGGGCAUGGUAAUAUGACUUUAUAGUCUGUGAGUAUUUUUCCCCUUGAGAGUAUUCAUGACAAAAGGGUUCACAAACUUAACCCCAAAUUAUUUAUAAAUAUAUUGUUAACAAAUUGAACUAACUACUCAGGCAUGUAUGCGGCCAAUCUUCAGUCAGAUCUGUCAGCAAGAAACAAAAUGUAUAGUCUUACUAGACAUAACUUCUGGAAGAAUCAUUAUUGGGUUUCUAGAACUCUUUAGUUCAGUAAUGGUGAGAAUAAAAAUGAUUUUGCAAUUAAAAGAAUAUAAUAUGCUAGGCGUUUCAGGUUGUUCAUCUUAAGAUUAUCUUUUUUUACUCUGUAUUUAAAAAUUUUUUCUUCUAAGACAUUUUAAAGCAAAGAAAUGAACAGUGGGGUGAAUAGUUUUGGCUUCUUCUUUCUUUGUGAAGAACAUAUUUAUGAUACAAUAACUGACCACCAUCACUGUUGUCAUUUCUAUAGAACCAUAGCAGGGUCAUCCUGUUCAAGAUAGUAUAAUUGCCUCGCCCACUUCUAUGAUACCGCUUUCUCCUGUCUCCUGUUUUGGGCCGCCUUGUUACCUCCUUAAUCAAGAUCCUUGGUGGCAACGCUACUAAUGGGUCUAGUUAGCACAGUGUAGCACCCAUGCCCAACAGGUGCUUAAUAUAUUCAGGACCUACCUGCUUUGCCCAAGGUGAUAGACCAUGCAUUGGUGAACCUAAAUUUUACUUAGAAAAUACAAAUCUUAUAUCACACCAUCCCCCACUUCCCCAGUAGCAUCAUCUAUUCUACUAAUAGUCUUUGGAAUUCUAAGGAAAGAUAAAUCAUAACCCCCCCCCCCUUAAUCUUAAGGCACUUAAUAAUAAAAAUGACCCAUAGAAGAGUUACUUUGGAGGAAUAGUUUCUUGGCUUGCUUAUUCUUGAAAAUGUAUCUUUACGAAAAAGGGUGACUUUCCUUUAUCCCCCAAGCCUAAGUUCAGACAAGUCCUGAAUGGACCAAAGGAGAGACAGUAAAUAUGUAUUUUUAGGUUGAUUGUUGACAAUAUAGAUAAUUUAUAGAAACUUAAUGAACUGAUUUCCUUCCUUUAUUAAAGUUUCUUGGGAGAAGAAUUUACCAUACUUGCAAUUAGUCAUUCUGUUUAUCUUACUGCUUACUAGUAAGCGAAAAAACAGUGACACUUAGGAUAUAACUUGUGCAUUUGGAUCCAAUGUUUAGAUCAUUUUGGGAAUUUCUCUUGCAGAGAGAACCAGUUCUUGGGUGUUUUGUUAUUUUGUUUGUUGUUUUGCUAGGAACAAGUCUACACAGAGCUCUCAAGCUGGCACUCCAUGAGCUACAUCUAGCCUGUAGUUAUAAUUUGUUCUACAGUUAUUUUCAGAGGUUUUUUAAAAAUUAGUUGCCGUCACUUACAAAUCAAGAGUUUCCAUAUAAAACGUCUCAAUUUUUUUUACUUUUCUUAAAAAUUGGAAUAUCUAGCAAAACAGGCCUAUAUUUCCACCUGGCCCCCACCCUUUGACUGGAGCUGAGUUGUAGGCAUCCACUCCAGAUUAACCACUCAUUUCACCAGGAUUCCACAACCCAGCACGUGAUGGGGUAACCCCUGCUGUCUAGUCACUUACUACUUUUGCUGCCAAACAGAAUGGGAAUGAGGAGUGCUUGCUGAAUGGGUACAGAUUUUUUAGGGGUCAUAAAAAUGUUCUCAAGUUAAGAUAAUAGUUUUGGUUGUACAACUUUAUAUUUCUACUAAAAUUAAAUAAAGCCAGUGAAUGGUAUACAUUAUAUGAGUGAAGCUUAUGGUAUGUGAAUUAUAUCACCAUAAAGGUGUUUUUAAAAUGUCUCUUAAGACUCAGGGAAGAGCUCUGAAGGAGGAAGGUCAGAAGAGAGUGAGCUGUCAUUAGAGGGGGCAUACCCCCUUCCUGGGGGGAGGAGGGGGUUGAUUGUUACAAGAGGUGAAAACUGAAUGUAAAUAGCUUUUGGUGUAGACUUACAAAAUCAGCCUCACUCCUUCAGUGCCUGGUAAAUAAAGGGUAGAGUGAACCCUACUUGUAUGUAUAUUUUUAAGAAUAGAGAAAUUAAAUUUAGAGUUGAGAAAUGUAAGAAUUGCUGUAAAAACAAAAACAAAACGAAACAAAAUGUAAAAAGAAUUGCUGUAAUAGGUUAAGGGGAUCCUGACACCUAGUGGACAGCAUAUGUACAGUUGACAGGAAAAAAAAAAAAA